GUGCUCACUUCGGCAGCACAUAUACUAAAAUUGGAUUGAUACAGAGAAGAUUAGCAUGGGCCCUGCGCAAGGAUGUUUCAGCACUGUUCUGGAACUCCCAAAUCUCA